UACGGGGGGAGCAAGCGUUGUUCGGAUUUACUGGGCGUAAAGGGCGCGUAGGCGGCCACCGCAAGUCAGUUGUGAAAUCUCUGGGCUUAACCCAGAAAGGUCAACUGAUACUGCGGGGCUAGAGUGCAGAAGGGGCAACUGGAAUUCUCGGUGUAGCGGUGAAAUGCGUAGAUAUCGAGAGGAACACCUGCGGCGAAGGCGGGUUGCUGGGCUGUUGCUGACUGAUGCGCGACAGCGUGGGGAGCAAACAGG
rnacentral:rRNA from 1 species